CAGCAGCCGCGGUAAUACGUAGGGUGCAAGCGUUAUCCGGAAUUAUUGGGCGUAAAGAGCUCGUAGGCGGUUUGUCGCGUCUGCUGUGAAAUCUGGGGGCUCAACCCCCAGCCUGCAGUGGGUACGGGCAGACUAGAGUGCGGUAGGGGAGAUUGGAAUUCCUGGUGUAGCGGUGGAAUGCGCAGAUAUCAGGAGGAACACCGAUGGCGAAGGCAGAUCUCUGGGCCGUAACUGACGCUGAGGAGCGAAAGCAUGGGGAGCGAACAGGAUUAGAUACCCGUGUAGUCCAUGUCUCUUAUAC
rnacentral:rRNA from 1 species